GUAGCCGGCUUUACAAGUCUUCUGUUAAAUCCAGCAACCCAAUUGUUGGACUGCGGGAGAUACUGCCUAGCUAGAGAACGGGAGAAGCCGACGGUACUCUCAGGGUAGGAGUGAAAUCCUAUAAUCCUGGGAGGACCACCAGUGGCGUAGGCUGUCGGCUAGAACGUGUCUGACGGUGAGGGACGAAAGCUUGGGGAGCGAACCGGAUUAGAUACCCGGGUAGUCCAAGCUGUAAACGAUGCGGGCUAGGUGUUGGUGUGGCUACGUGCCACUUCAGUGCCGCAGGGAAGCCGUUAAGCCCGCCGCCUGGAGAGUACGGUCGCAAGGCUGAAACUUAAAGGAAUUGGCGGGGGAGCACCACAAGGGGUGAAGCUUGCGGUUUAAUUGGAGUCAACACCGGGAAACUUACCAGGAGCGACAGUUGGAUGAAGGUCAGAUCAAAGGUCUUACCGGACUAGCUGAGAGGAGGUGCAUGGCCGUCGCCAGUUCGUGCCGUGAGGUGUUCUCUCAAGUGAGACAACGAACGAGACCCGCACCAUUAGUUGCCAGCGGAUUCCUUCGGGAUUCCAGGCACACUAAUGGGACUGCCCACGCUAAGUGGGAGGAAGGAACGGGCCACGGCAGGUCAGUAUGCCCCAGAUCUCCUGGGCCACACGCGAGCUGCAAUGGCUGGGACAAUGGGAUCCGACCUCGAGAGGGGAAGGCAAUCCUCAAACCCAGCCUCAGUUGGGAUCGAGGGCUGUAACCCGCCCUCGUGAACAUGGAAUCCCUAGUA
rnacentral:rRNA from 1 species